AGCUGUCUUAGCACAUUUUAAAUAUUGAUUCAUAAAUUUCUAUAAUAAAUCUCAACACAAAAAUGUUGAAAUAACUUAUUCUUUACUUUUCAAAAUUACAACUGUAAGGUAAGACCUUGUAACAGAGCGAUGCAGUGAGGACUGAAACUUAAGAAACACCACUGUCCGCGCAGGCUCAAGGGCUCCCCAGCACCCAGCCUGGGGCCCAUACCUGCCAACCACCUGGCUCAUCUACAAGGGCAGGAGGCCUGUGAAUCCACGAGGCAAGGACUGAGUCUGUCUCUCAGCUUUGCUUUCCUGGAGCUGAUCCUCAUGUCUGGCAUGUAGAAGGGGCUCAAUAAGUAUUCAUGAAGAAAUGAGGGGCCCAAGAUGUACUGGUGGAAACUGUAUGUUUAGUAUGAAAAUAAGGUACACUUGGUGCCAUCAGCUGACAUGUUGUCCCCUUGUUUUUAAUCAGGUCACAAUUACAGAGGUUCUGCAACCAGGCCGUAGCAUGGGGCAUGUCUGGAACACCAGUCUCUGUAAAUCAGGGUUGGGAUUUCAUUCCCAAGGGUUCUGAGUUCUUUGCCAAGUACGGUUUAUGUGGAAAACACAGCGCUACCUGAGCGAUUACACCGUUCACAGCCUGCGGCUGUCAGCCGGGCAUCAGGCUUUCAGCAGACAAGUCCAACAGCUGUCAUACUCUGUUUGUUUUUUUGAACUUGACUGGGAAAGAGGUGGAGGGUUGCUUGUUUGCUUGCAGUUGGAGCGGAGACCUCAGGGCGACCUCUGGCCCUGGUCAGGGUUUACAUCACAACCAGUGAAAGUGGCCUGUGAUUAGGUGCAGAUGCUUCUCUGGAGAGGAGAGCAGCAUUCCUUAGUUGGAGAUGAACCUAUCUCUAACUUAAGGGCUCCUUUGAUUUACGGAUGCCGGGGGGCAAGCACCAGAGCAGAUAACCACAGAACCACCAGAAUACCCACCCCAGAAAGCCCAGCUUCCUCGAGCCGGCCCCCAGUGUGGCCUGCAGAAUGUCUCCUACACAGCACCACACAGUCGUACAUGUUCUUCGAAUCUGAGCGGAGUAUUUAUAGUCGGACAUCAGAUCACUCACUCUCUCUGACUGAGCACUAGGACAGCAGGUCUUUUGUUGUUUCCGUAAGAAUAGCUUGCUUAAUCGGUUUUUGGACUUAUCAUUUCUCAGGAACAAUUAGAGAUGUUAACAUGCUGAGCAUCUGAAGGGCUGGUAAUGGAAGUGGUCUUCAAGGCAGCCUGAGCUGCAUGGCGGGGGAGUUGGGUCUGACUACUUUCCAUCUCCCUGUGUGGUGGACACCUUAUUCCGUCACAGUCCCAUGUCCUCAUGCUGCCUCAUCAUUAUGCAGGUAUCCCCACCCCCUAAUUUUCUUCCCCUAAUUUCGCGAAGUCAAGUGGUAUAGUGAGCAAAGUACAGAUUUUUGUUUUGGCUUUUAUUUUAUUUUUUGCCACUUACAGGCCAUGAAAUUUUGGGCACAUGGCUUUUCAGAGCCUCAGUUUCCUUCUUUACACAUGGACGCAAGUGCUGUGGGGACUCAGAAAAAGGCACGACAGAGUCUUUGCAAAGACUGUGCCAAGCCCGGAGCUCAGUGCUGCCCAGGAGAUAUGAGAACACUGCCGUGUCAAACCCCACAGGUGGGAAGAGCUGUGUUGAGGCUGACAAAGCUGCUCUUUGAAAUUCGCACAUUAUCAACCAUUUCUCUGACAACCCGUUCCUUAGGAGAGCUCUCUAUGUACUUUACAUAUGAAUUAUAAGAAGAUGAGCUUUGAACCUGAAGGCAGCAGGCAGCACCUACACAGCCGGCAAGCUGAGGUACAGAACUGCAUUUAGACUGUGGAGCACUGAUCUUUGAAAGAAUUAGGUGCUGUGAAUAAAGUGUUUGGAACUUACCUGCAUCCCGGUCCCUGAUACAGUAGUCUGGAGAAUUCUCAAAAUACACGAGAUCAUUUUUUGUUGGCUUCUUAAACCUCUUG